rnacentral:ncRNA from 1 species
CCGCCUGCUCCCUCGCUCUGCGGCGGUCCCUCCGCGGCCCGCUUCUUCGCGGGCCUCCGGCCUUUCCCGCCGCGGCCGUUUGCGGCCCUCCCCGGUCUGUGCUGCCCUUCGCUGUUCUGGGCCGCCCGCGGCGCUCCCCUGCUGUCUUCCCCGCGCCUCUCGCCUUGGCCGCCCGGCCCGGGUCCUCUUUGCCCUUUCCUCGUGAUGGGGAUAGAUCAUUGCAAUUGUUGGUCUUCAACGAGGAAUUCCUAGUAAGCGCGAGUCAUCAGCUCGCGUUGACUACGUCCCUGCCCUUUGUACCCCCGCCCGUCGCUCCUACCGAUUGAAUGAUCCGGUGAAGUGUUCGGAUCGCGGCGACGUGGGCGGUUCGCUGCCCGCGACGUCGCGAGAAGUCCACUGAACCUUAUCAUUUAGAGGAAGGAAGCCGUAACAAGGUUUCCGUCGGUGCCCUGCGCGGCUCAUUG